CUUGGUGUUACUGCGAAGGGGGGACGGAGAAGGCUAUGUUGGCCGGGCGACGGUUGUCCCGGUUUAAGCGUGUAGGCUGGUUUUCCAGGCAAAUCCGGAAAAUCAAGGCUGAGGCGUGAUGACGAGGCACUACGGUGCUGAAGCAACAAAUGCCCUGCUUCCAGGAAAAGCCUCUAAGCAUCAGGUAACAUCAAAUCGUACCCCAAACCGACACAGGUGGUCAGGUAGAGAAUACCAAGGCGCUUGAGAGAACUC
rnacentral:rRNA from 1 species